GCCUUCGUGGUGUAGUGGUCAGCAGGCUCGACCUGUAUUCGUGAGGUCUGUGGUUCGAGUCCCUGCGAGGCA
rnacentral:tRNA from 1 species